rnacentral:rRNA from 1 species
UACGUAGGGUGCAAGCGUUGUCCGGAAUUAUUGGGCGUAAAGGGCUCGUAGGCGGCCAACUAAGUCAGACGUGAAAUCCCUCGGCUUAACCGGGGAACUGCGUCUGAUACUGGAUGGCUUGAGGUUGGGAGAGGGAUGCGGAAUUCCAGGUGUAGCGGUGAAAUGCGUAGAUAUCUGGAGGAACACCGGUGGCGAAGGCGGCAUCCUGGACCAAUUCUGACGCUGAGUGAGCGAAAGCCAGGGGAGCAAACGGG